UACAACCCAAAUUCAACCUAGCCCUUCCCAAAAAAAAAAAAAAAACCCAGCCCUCAGGUUUCAUGAGGGUUUUCAUUUUCCCUCAUUUUCUCGGCUUCCAAUCACAUCAAAACUCUUCAAAGCUUCAGCAGAUUUCUGAGUUGUUUGCCGGAAUAUUCACGCUAUCUCUUUCCGGUCACUCUAGCACUCAUCGGUGGAUAUGUUGUGGUGAAUGAAAAGCUGCCUAAUUAUGUAGUCCCAUAUUUGACUGACUUCAAGAGAUGGAUUCAAUGAAUGAAGAAAAUGAUGAGUAUUAGGUGAAAGGAAGCUAUUUUAAGCUCGUAUCUGCCACAUACAAGAAAAAAGAGGUUAACAUCUGGGAUCCUAAGGCUUCAAAUUUUUUUGGGUUCGAAGAAGACUUUCUUGGGGAUACAUUUAAAAAUGUAUAACCUGCAUUAAUCAUUGAGUGCAGUCUUUUUUAUUUUGAUCGGGUUAGCGAUGGCUUAUCCUUAUAAACAUGUAAAUCAGAAUCUGGAAAGCAUUUUUAAAUCCUUUGCUACUC